rnacentral:rRNA from 1 species
GGUCAGGUAGAGAAUACUAAGGCGCAUGAGAGAACUCAGGUGAAGGAACUAGGCAAAAUGGUGCCGUAACUUCGGGAGAAGGCACGCUCCUGCUGGUGACGAGCUUUACGCUCUGAGCUGUCGGGAGUCGAAGAUACCAGGUGGCUGCGACUGUUUAUUAAAAACAUAGCACUCUGCAAACACGAAAGUGGACGUAUAGGGUGUGACGCCUGCCCGGUGCCGGAAGGUUAAUUGAUGGGGUUAGCUUCGGCGAAGCUCUUGAUCGAAGCCCCGGUAAACGGCGGCCGUAACUAUAACGGUCCUAAGGUAGCGAAAUUCCUUGUCGGGUAAGUUCCGACCUGCACGAAUGGCGUAACGAUGGCCACACUGUCUCCACCUGAGACUCAGUGAAAUUGAAAUCGCAGUGAAGAUGCUGUGUACCCGCGGCUAGACGGAAAGACCCCGUGAACCUUUACUAUAGCUUCACAGUGGACUUUGACAUUACUUGUGUAGGAUAGCUGGGAGGCUUUGAAGCAUGGUCGCUAGAUCGUGUGGAGCCAAUCUUGAAAUACCAGCCUGGUACUGUUGAGGUUCUAACUCAGGUCCCUAAUCGGGAUCGAGGACAUUGUGUGGUGGGUAGUUUGACUGGGGCGGUCUCCUCCCAAAGAGUAACGGAGGAGCACGAAGGUACCCUCAGCAUGGUCGGAAAUCAUGCAUUGAGUGCAAGCGCAUAAGGGUGCUUAACUGCGAGACAGACACGUCGAGCAGGUACGAAAGUAGGUGCUAGUGAUCCGGUGGUUCUGUAUGGAAGGGCCAUCGCUCAACGGAUAAAAGGUACUCCGGGGAUAACAGGCUGAUUCCUCCCAAGAGUUCACAUCGACGGGGGAGUUUGGCCCCUCGAUGUCGGCUCAUCACAUCCUGGGGCUGAAGCCGGUCCCAAGGGUAUGGCUGUUCGCCAUUUAAAGUGGUACGCGAGCUGGGUUUAGAACGUCGUGAGACAGUUCGGUCCCUAUCUGCCGUGGGCGUUUGAGAUUUGAGAAGAGUUGCUCCUAGUACGAGAGGACCGGAGUGAACGAACCUCUGGUGUUCCGGUUGUCACGCCAGUGGCAUUGCCGGGUAGCUACGUUCGGACGGGAUAACCGCUGAAAGCAUCUAAGCGGGAAGCCCCCUUCAAGAUGAGAUCUCGCUGGGAACUUGAUUCCCCUAAAGAGCCGUUUAAGACUAAGACGUUGAUAGGCUGGGUGUGGAAGCGCUGCGAGGCGUUGAGCUAACCAGUACUAAUUGCUCGUGAGGCUUGACCAU